CAGAGAAGGGCAGCAAAAAGUCACAGGGAAAAGGCAGUAGGAGCAUGGGAAGCAGGGGGACAGCAGAAAAUUACAGGAAAAGUGGCAGGAGAGACUGAAAGGCAGCAGGGACAACAGGAAAGCAGAGAAAGGCAGCAGAAAGUCAUAGGAAAAAGGCAGUAGGAAUUGAGAGGAGACUGGGAAACUAGUGGAGAGGGGUGGGGGAGCUAGAGCUGAGAGAGAGAGAAUGAGGCUGGAAUUUAAGAUAAGGAAGGGAUUGGGAUUCAGUAAAACAUGACCCACCUCGGGGUUUCAAAUGACAGUGGUUUUAUUGAACAGGGGAGAUGGUGACACAAUGUCUUAUUGGUUCCUGUGCACCCACACCCACACACAUAAUGACAGCAGGGGUUAGAGAGGCUUGGUGCAGGGACUGAAAUCCACUGAAAUCCAGGAGGAGAGAGAGAGACAGGGAGAGAGAGUCCAAAUUGUAGGAAAAGGUGUGCAGGCAGUAUCUACCUAUCCAGGCUGGAAAGGGGUCUUUGUCCAGUAGGUGUUGUCCAGAGGGGGGGUCACUGGCAGGGCCUCUGGGUGGAUAGGUGGUGUGGCAUGGUGCUGGUUCGGAUGGAGAGGGCCUCCCACUGGGUCUGUCUUUACUGCCCCUUUUUAUAGGGGCAGACUUUGUGUGACUCUAGUGACAGGAGGCACGCCCAGGCAAGGUUCAGCCUCUGGUUUUGCUACACUUUGGGUUCUUCACUCUCUGAUCACAAGGCCAUGGCUCCCAUCAUCUGACCAAGGCUCCCAUCAGCUGUUUAGAAGCCACAGCACAGUGUCCCUAGAGUAACUACUGGAAAGCAUUUUGCAGCCGUACUUUCAGCCUCACCAACGCAAGAUGCCAUAGGGAUGGGCACAGCUCUUUUACCCUGCCCUGAUCACUGCACCACUGAAGACAUCUUUCUUCCCUCCUGUUGAAACUGGGCCACUGGACAAAGACUGACUCCUAGGAUCAAAAGGAGAAGCAAUGAAAAGAGGACUGAUUCUUCACCCCAGUGAGGUGAGCACUCUGCUGGGAGGGAAGGAGCCCUCGGUUUUGUCACCAAUCCCAAAGCUGUUUUUACCUUAAAUGCCUAUUGGAAAAAUGAAUCCAAAGUGCUGGAGUCAUUCAUUCGUAAGCUGAAGGGCUGAGCACAGGAAUCAGAUGCUGUCAUUAUAUGACAAGAAUUUGUUCCCUGCAGGUACCUGCAAAACACGGAAAUUCUCCUUCAUAUAUGUUAUGGAUAUUAUGAAAUUUAGCUUCAUACCAGAGGGGAAAAACCCCAAAUUCUGAUAAUUUAUGUAAAGCAAAAUUCUGAAAACAAAACAAAAAGAAUUGACAGUUUUUCAGAUGUUUGUUACUUUCACUUGAAAUGAUGUACUGUAUUAGCUUAUACAUAAACUAAAUUAAACAGUUUGGAAUGAAAAGUUGGAGCUACAAGGGGUUUUCUUCAAAAUAAAAUCCAAUUCCAGAAAAAUCAA